rnacentral:lncRNA from 1 species
UUGACUUGGGACCCAGAACAACAGAACUGCACACAUGUUUGGGUAAUAGUCUUGCAGAUCAAGCUUGAAAAAGUUUCUAGGCUGCCUGCCCAUUUUCUUUUCCUCUUAAAAAAUAGUUCUGAUUUUUGUUUUAGUUUUUAUGAAUUAUGCUUGUUUGGGACUGGGCCACUCAAACAUUUACAGGGGUAUUUAAAACGUCUCGGGGGUUUAGUUAUAAUAAAUUAAAGCUUUUACAAGAACUCAUGUAAAAUGUUUACACAAACUGUGCAUCCAUUUCUCUUAAGUAAAUUGGGAUUGAUGGGGCAUAUAAUAAACGUUUUAUUAACUUUGCCAUAAAUGUCAAGACUGUUUUCCAAUGUGACUGUGCCAUUUUAAAUCCUCCGUAGAAACACAAGAAUUUCAGCAGCUCUGUUCUCCCUGGAAGUUGACAUUAUCUUUUCUUUCUUUCUUUCUUUCUUUCUUUCUUUCUUUCUUUCUUUCUUUCUUUCUCUCUCUCUCUCUCUCUUUCUUUCUUUCUCUUUCUUUCUUUCCUUCCCUCUUUCCUUUUUUCUCUUCUUUUUAUAAAACCCGUUUUAUUAUUAUUAUUAUUUUAUUUUCUGUGUAUGAGUGUUUUGCCUGCAUGUAUGUUGGUGUGCCAUGUGUGUGCCUGGCGUCUACAAGAACUAGAAUAGAGUAUUGGAUCCCCUGUAAGUUAAGUUAUAGAUGGCUGUAAGCCUCCUUGUGGUGCUGGAAACUGACCCUGGCCCUUUGGAAGAGCAGCAGCCAGUGCUCCUAACCUCUGAGCAUCUCUCCAUUGCCACUCUUAAAUUUUGAGCCAUUUAAAUAGGUGUGAAAUGAUACCUCAUUGUGAUUUGAACUGUAAUCCCUCAAUGACUAAUAAUGUUAAGGUCUUUGUUCAUUUAACAUUUAUUUAUCUAUUUAUCUAGCCAUCUAUUUCUCUCUCUCUCUCUCUCUCUCUCUCUCUCUCUCUCUCUCUCUGUGUGUGUGUGUGUGUGUGUGUGUGUGUGCUCGCUCACGUGUGCAAAUGCAUACAUGCAUGAGUGUGUAGGUGCAUACACAUGGAGGAGGUCAGAGGACAUCCUGCAAAAGUCAUUUCUCUCCUACCAUUUGGGCUCUGGGGAUCAAAAUCAAGUUGUUAGACUUGGUGACAAGUGCGUGUACCAGCUGUGCCAUCUUGCUGGCUCAGCACCUUGCUUUCCUGAGACAAGGUCUUUCAGUGAACCUGGAGCUCACUGCUUUGGGCAGGCAGGCUGGCCAUCCAGCUCCUGAGACCCACCUGUCGAUGGCCUCCAGGGCUGGGAUUUCGAGCUGUGGUAUGGCGCAGCUUUUUAUCAGCUGAGGACUUGAACUCACCUCUUGAUUCACAGCAAAUACUCUUGUCCCUGAGGUGUCAUCCUAAUCCAUAGGAUUUAUAUAUUAUAGAUUUAAGUCAUUUAUUUGACACAUGGUUUGCAAAUAUUUCUCCAGUAUUUAGUUAUUUUAUUCUUUCAAAAAAUGUCUCUUAAAGAGUAGACAUUCUUAUUUAUAAGGAAGUCAAACAUCACUGUUUUCUUAUGGGUCACAACUUUAGUUUCAUAGCUCAGGGCCUGUAGCUCCCACAUUUACUUUCUGCGUAUUGGAGGACUAGCCAGACGUGGCCGACUGUAGCAUCCUAACAGUUCUGUUAUGCUUUAAGUGCACUGUCUGAUUCCUAAACUUCCCUGAGUUGUUUUGUGGGUCAGCAUGUGGUCUAGCAUGCUAAAUGUUUGGCGUCUAUGGAAAACAUGUGGAUCUCACCAUCAUUGCAAAGUCAUCUAUAAAUAGCAAUUAUGUCAACUGCUUGGCCCUUGUGUUUAAAUCUACAGUCCCCUUAUCCCCAGAACAUUUUUUUCUCUUAAUCAUUUGGGUUUUUUUCUUUUAAUCGGUUUUAAUCAUAAAUAUAUUUAUCUUACCAGAUCCUGUUUUUGUAUAUUUUGGAGCUGUGUUAUUAGAUGAUUAAACAUUUAAAAAUUUUAUGUCCUUUUGAUGAAUUGAGCCUGUUAUCAUUCUGAAAUUAUUUUUAUCCUGGUGAAUUUUGCUCUGUAAUACACUUAAGUUAAUAUUACAUGUCCACUGUAGCUUUCUCUUGGCUUAUCUAAUCAUAGUAUAUAUUUCCCCAACCUUUUGAUUUUAACCUACUCAUGACUAUAUAUUCAGAUUAUGUUUGUUGAGGCAGGAUAUCAUUGGGUCUUACUGUUUCUUAAAGUCCAAUCUCAAUAAUCUCUGUGUCUUUUGGGGAUUUUAAAGACAUUUAUAUUUAAUGUAAUUAUUAUAAUUGAAUCAUCUUGAUGUUUGAUUUUUUUCGUUGAUAUAUAAAAAUG